GCUUUUGAAGGAAAAUAGUCUUCCCCUGGUUUUAGGACCCAGUAUUUCUUAGUGCAAAUCUAAGUAAAAGCU
rnacentral:tRNA from 1 species